CGGACGGGUGAGUAAUGUCUGGGAAACUGCCUGAUGGAGGGGGAUAACUACUGGAAACGGUAGCUAAUACCGCAUAACGUCGCAAGACCAAAGUGGGGGACCUUCGGGCCUCUUGCCAUCGGAUGUGCCCAGAUGGGAUUAGCUAGUAGGUGGGGUAACGGCUCACCUAGGCGACGAUCCCUAGCUGGUCUGAGAGGAUGACCGGCCACACUGGAACUGAGACACGGUCCAG
rnacentral:rRNA from 1 species